CCCAUCCCAGUGGGCUCUCAAGCCAGCGUUGUUAGCCUCUAGUCAGUAACGAGGAAACCGGGGCUGGGAGAGCUGGUCAUCACCAUCUUACUCCCCCUUUUCUGCCCUGCAGGUUUGUCUUGACAUCCAAGGAGAAGAGAUCUUCCCAGGAGGAGGCCGAGGGAACGCUACAGGCGAUUUGCCUGUCCUGGACAUUUUAGAUGAGUGGACGUAUGUAACAUGGUUUUUUGUGACUGGCUUCUUUCAUUUGGCUCCACGCUUCAUCAGAUUGUGUUUCAGUACUGUGUUUCUUUCGGGGACCAAAUAAUGCUCCAUCGUAACCACAGACCAUGUUUCGUUUAUCAUUCAUCCGUUCAAGGGCGUCUGGGUUGUUUUCCAUCUUUGCCUAUUGGAAAUAGUGCUGCCAUGAACAGUCAUGUACAACUUUUUGUUGAAACACUUGUUUUCAAUUCUUUUGGAUACAUGUACUCCUAGGAGUAGACUCACUGGGUCAUCACCACCAACUUUUGAUCAAUAUUUAAAAUUAAGUUUGUCCAAGUGUUAGAUUUGUUCCUCACAUGUCAAUUGUCUCCUGUCCUUCUUUACCAAACUCGUCCCCUGCCAACAAUGACUUCUCUUGGCACAAGCA